CGUGUAGGCGGUUUGCCGAGUCAGGCGUGAAAGCCCCGGGCUUAACCUGGGAACUGCGCUUGAUACGGGCAGGCUAGAGGUUGGAAGAGGAGGGUGGAAUUCCCAGUGUAGAGGUGAAAUUCGUAGAUAUUGGGAAGAACACCAGUGGCGAAGGCGGCUCUCUGGUCCACACCUGACGCUGAGGCGCGAAAGCGUGGGGAGCAAACA
rnacentral:rRNA from 1 species